rnacentral:rRNA from 1 species
UAAUACAGAGGGUGCGAGCGUUAAUCGGAAUUACUGGGCGUAAAGCGAGUGUAGGUGGCUCAUUAAGUCACAUGUGAAAUCCCCGGGCUUAACCUGGGAACUGCAUGUGAUACUGGUGGUGCUAGAAUAUGUGAGAGGGAAGUAGAAUUCCAGGUGUAGCGGUGAAAUGCGUAGAGAUCUGGAGGAAUACCGAUGGCGAAGGCAGCUUCCUGGCAUAAUAUUGACACUGAGAUUCGAAAGCGUGGGUAGCAAACAGGAUUAGAUACCCUGGUAGUCCACGCCGUAAACGAUGUCUACUAGCCGUUGGGGUCCUUGAGACUUUAGUGGCGCAGUUAACGCGAUAAGUAGACCGCCUGGGGAGUACGGCCGCAAGGUUAAAACUUAAAGGAAUUGACGG